rnacentral:rRNA from 1 species
GACGAACGCUGGCGGCGUGCUUAACACAUGCAAGUCGAACGGAAAGGCCCUGCUUGCAGGGUACUCGAGUGGCGAACGGGCGAGUAACACGUGGGUGAUCUGCCCUGCACUUCGGGAUAAGCCUGGGAAACUGGGUCUAAUACCGGACAGGAGCCAUUUUUAGUGUGAUGGUUGGAAAGUUUUUUCGGUGUAGGAUGAGCUCGCGGCCUAUCAGCUUGUUGGUGGGGUAAUGGCCUACCAAGGCGGCGACGGGUAGCCGGCCUGGGAGGGUGGACGGCCACAUUGGGACUGAGAUACGGCCCAGACUCCUACGGGAGGCAGCAGUGGGGAAUAUUGCACAAUGGGCGCAAGCCUGAUGCAGCGACGCCGCGUGGGGGAGGACGGCCUUCGGGUUGGAAUCUCAUUUCGCUAGGGACGAAGCUUUUUGUGACGGUACCUAGAUAAGAAGCACCGGCUAACUACGUG